rnacentral:misc_RNA from 1 species
AAGUCGUAACAAGGUUUCCGUAGGUGAACCUGCGGAAGGAUCAUUAACACGUAUCCAACGUUAAACAACCCUGUGAACUUUCAGCGCUCUUGUAGCCCCGGAGGAACAGCAAUCCCGGUAAAUCAAAUGGCGGAAAGAGUUUUGAUUCGGGACCUCUGUCCAAAAGGUAUCAAGUUACAAUCGAGCAGAGCAGUGGCAUGGUUUCCCUAAGCAGUGCAGAAGGAUCCACUGAGUAAGGAUAACGCAUCACGGUUGCCAGAGGUCGAUCACCGGCCGGCAGACAUGUCACAGGGAUAAAAACCGAACAACUGUUAACAAUGGAUAUCUUGGUUCUC